GAUGAAGAACGCAGCGAAAUGCGAUAAGUAGUGUGAAUUGCAGAAUUCAGUGAAUCAUCGAAUCUUUGAACGCACAUUGCGCCCCUUGGUAUUCCAUGGGGCAUGCCUGUUCGAGCGUCAUUUGUACCUUCAAGCUCUGCUUGGUGUUGGGUGUUUGUCUCGCCUCUGCGUGUAGACUCGCCUCAAAACAAUUGGCAGCCGGCGUAUUGAUUUCGGAGCGCAGUACAUCUCGCGCUUUGCACUCAUAACGACGACGUCCAAAAGUACAUUUUUACACUCUUGACCUCGGAUCAGGUAGGGAUACCCGCUGAACUUAAGCAUAUCAAUAAGCGGAGGA
rnacentral:misc_RNA from 1 species